UAAAGGCAUUCCCCUAGUAGCGGCGAGCGAAGCGGGAAGAGCUCAAAUUUAUAAUCUGGCACCUUCGGUGUCCGAGUUGUAAUCUCUAGAAGUGUUUUCCGCGUUGGACCGCACACAAGUCUGUUGGAAUACAGCGGCAUAGUGGUGAAACCCCCGUAUAUGGUGCGGACGCCCAGCGCUUUGUGAUACACUUUCAAUGAGUCGAGUUGUUUGGGAAUGCAGCUCAAAUUGGGUGGUAAAUUCCAUCUAAAGCUAAAUAUUGGCGAGAGACCGAUAGCGAACAAGUACCGUGAGGGAAAGAUGAAAAGCACUUUGGAAAGAGAGUUAACAGUACGUGAAAUUGUUGGAAGGGAAACGCUUGAAGUCAGACUUGCUUGCCGGAGCUUGCUUCGGUUUGCAGGCCAGCAUCAGUUUUCCGGGGUGGAUAAUGACGGUUUGAAGGUAGCAGUCUCGGCUGUGUUAUAGCUUUCCGUUGGAUACAUCCUGGGGGACUGAGGAACGCAGCGUGCUUUUUGCGAAAGACUCGUCUUUUUCACGCUUAGGAUGCUGGUGGAAUGGCUUUAAACGACCCGUCUUGAAACACGGACCA
rnacentral:rRNA from 1 species